UUGGAGGGCAAGUCUGGUGCCAGCAGCCGCGGUAAUUCCAGCUCCAAUAGCGUAUAUUAAAGUUGUUGCAGUUAAAAGGCUCGUAGUAGAAUUUCGGGAUUGACGUGAUGGUCGUGCCUUACGAGGUAUGAACUGUUGCAGUCAAUUUCUCACCUUCUGGAGAAAUAUGAUGUCCUUAAUUGGGUGUCAUAUGGAACCAGAACUUUUACCUUGAAAAAAUUAGAGUGUUUAAAGCAGGCUUAUUGCUCGAAUACAUUAGCAUGGAAUAAUAAAAUAGGACGGCAUGGUUCUAUUUUGUUGGUUUCUAGGAUCACCGUAAUGAUUAAUAGGGAUAGUUGGGGGCAUUAGUAUUCAAUUGUCAGAGGUGAAAUUCUUGGAUUUAUUGAGGACUAACUACUGCGAAAGCAUUUGCCAAGGAUGUUUUCAUUAAUCAAGAACGAAAGUUAGGGGAUCGAAGACGAUCAGAUACCGUCGUAGUCUUAACCAUAAACUAUGCCGACUAGGAAUCAGACGAUGUUAAUUUUUUAAUGACUCGUUUGGCACCUUACGGGAAACCAAAGUGUUUGGGUUC
rnacentral:rRNA from 1 species